rnacentral:rRNA from 1 species
AGUGAACGCUGGCGGUAUGCCUAACACAUGCAAGUCGAACGGCAACACAGUAAGAGUUUGCUCUUACGGGUGGCGAGUGGCGGACGGGUGAGGAAUACAUCGGAAUCUACUUUUUCGUGGGGGAUAACGUAGGGAAACUUACGCUACUACCGCAUACGACCUACGGGUGAAAGCAGGGGUUCUUCGGACCUUGCGCGAUUGAAUGAGCCGAUGUCGGAUUAGCUAGUUGGCGAGGUAAAGGCCCACCAAGGCGACGAUGCGUAGCUGGUCUGAGAGGAUGAUCAGCCACACUGGAACUGAGACACGGUCCAGACUCCUACGGGAGGCAGCAGUGGGGAAUAUUGCGCAAUGGGCGCAAGCCUGAUCCAGCAAUACCGCGUGGGUGAAGAAGGCCUUCGGAUUGUAAAGCCCUUUUGUUGGGGAAGAAAAGCAGCAGGUUAAUACCCCGCUGUUCUGACGGUACCCAAAGAAUAAGCACCGGCUAACUUCGUG